rnacentral:rRNA from 1 species
UACGUAGGUGGCAAGCGUUAUCCGGAAUUACUGGGCGUAAAGCGCACGCAGGCGGUCUUCUAAGUUUGACGUGAAAGCUCCCGGCCUAACUGGGAGAGGUCGUUGAAGACUGGAAGACUUGAGGCAAUGAGAGGGGUGUAGAAUUCCCGGUGUAGUGGUGGAAUGCGUAGAUAUCGGGGGGAAUACCAGUGGCGAAAGCGGCACCCUAGCGUUAGCCUGACGCUCAUGUGCGAAAGCGUGGGGAGCGAACGGG